rnacentral:tRNA from 2 species
GGGUUGUUAGCUCAGUUGGUAGAGCAGUGGACUCUUAAUCCAUUGGUCGAGGGUUCGAGCCCCUCACGACCCACCA